rnacentral:rRNA from 1 species
AGUGAACGCUGGCGGUAGGCCUAACACAUGCGAGUCGAACGGCAGCACAGUAAGAGCUUGCUCUUACGGGUGGCGAGUGGCGGACGGGUGAGGAAUACAUCGGAAUCUACUUUUUCGUGGGGGAUAACGUAGGGAAACUUACGCUAAUACCGCAUACGACCUACGGGUGAAAGCAGGGGAUCUUCGGACCUUGCGCGAUUGAAUGAGCCGAUGUCGGAUUAGCUAGUUGGCGGGGUAAAGGCCCACCAAGGCGACGAUCCGUAGCUGGUCUGAGAGGAUGAUCAGCCACACUGGAACUGAGACACGGUCCAGACUCCUGCGGGAGGCAGCAGUGGGGAAUAUUGGACAAUGGGCGCAAGCCUGAUCCAGCCAUACCGCGUGGGUGAAGAAGGCCUUCGGGUUGUAAAGCCCUUUUGUUGGGAAAGAAAAGCAGCAGGUUAAUACCCCGCUGUUCUGACGGUACCCAAAGAAUAAGCACCGGCUAACUUCGUG